GUUUAACUGUGUGUUGUGUACAAGGAAUUUGCCGAUUAGGCUACACAGCAGAGCAAACGCAGGCAGUAUUGGACGCGAAACUAGCUAACCACACACACCAAAUGUUGCCAUUCUGGUUGUAUUUAUUUAUUUUUAUUUAUUUUUUUAUCACUCACCUCUUUAAUUUUUGCUCGUCUCUCUUUGGUUUCCGGAUCGGAGGGCUCGUGCCCUGUUGCUCCGGGUGGCCGAACAUAUUCAAUGACUGUCCCAGAAGAAUCCGUGUGUCUUCUCUACACACACUGCUGGAUUGUCAGCGGCAGCCUUUCAGUCGGGAGCUUCAUGCAGGGAAACAUGCGCCGCAUGCCACCCACUCAACACCUGCAGCAACAACCCACCUGCUGAGUUCAGAGCUCUGCUACAGGUGACCGGAACGCCCCUCAACCCAGGCAGCCUGGAGAAUUCCAUGCACAACUCCGCUGCGCCGUGGUGUGGGACAAACCACUGACCUCUCCCCUCCCUUCCACUGAAACUCUGGGCCUCUCUCUUAGGAUGGUGCAGACAGAGGGGUGACGGAGUCAGGCCACCUGAAGGACUUUGGCAUUGAAACAUGCCUGAAGUGAUAAUUAAUAGUAAUUAGUAUCACCACAAGCAGCACUUAGCAGCAGCCAGUGUUCAGAAGUUGAGAGAGGAAAGUGUAAUUAUGCUCGCACAAGAUUGCCAUAAGUAUGUGCUCUCCCGCUGUACAUACCGUUUGAUUCUCUCACUUAUGUGACAUGUCAAAUGUUCUCAGCAGCACUGUGUGAUGAUGAAUAAGCUGCAUUACCAGCUGUACCAUAUACGUGGGCUGAUAACUGUGACCUGUCAAUAUACAAAUGAUUUAGCUGGAGUUUUUAGUCCCUGUCACAUCUGAAAUGAAUAUACUCUUCAAUCAGAGCGAGAGAUUCCACUUCAUCUGAGGUCAUAGGUACUUCGUUAUUCUGACUGCGCUCUAGUUUCUAGAAAAUAAACAUUCAAUAUGAGAGGGAAUGAAUAGAAAGCCAGGAGGUGUAAUUGUCAGGCUGAUGCAGAGCAUCAGUUUUAUAUGACUUUUCUGAAGAAUUAAUGAAUAUGAUAUGGCCAUAUUGUGACAGUUCACAACCCCAAAGCUGCAGGUGAAAACAAAAUGCUUCCAUCACAUUUCCAUUGCCUUCUUUAAUGAGAUUCUUCUUAGGCAGGCUUUCACCUUGAACAUUAACUUUGCAUGUUUUUAACAGCUGUGGUAAAGAUUCCCUGAAAAUGAUUGUUUCAUUUAUAACUUCUAACUCCAAGGACAAAAUCACACCCUGCAGGCAGCCUAUGUAAGUUUAAUGUUUUCACAUUUAUGAUUUCUGGACAAUUCUUAAAUGACACCCCAUUCCCCAUAUUGUGCACCAAUUUUGGCCAGAGUGACAUUUGUAGUAUUUUGUAUAGAACCAAAUAUUAUACCAGUUUAUAAAACAACUUUAAAAAGGAAUUGAGGGUUAAUCUUUAAUCAUUUCCCAUUGCAUCAGAAGUAGACAUGACAACAGUAUACUUUCCCAUUGGAAAUUCUAACCACCGCUGACAUCCGCUGUUAUAUUAUUCUAAUGAGAUUAUUAGAUGACUAUAUUAAUCCAAAUCACUUUACGGUACAUUGGCCUAUCAGUGCUUUCCAAAGCCAAAUAGUAUAGUCAGGUUUAAAUGGACUCUGACAUUUUAAGUCAUAUUAGCCAGCGUAAUAGGUUCAGCUCAGCUCAUCAGCAUUGGGUUUAGCAGAGUUCGCAUUGACAUUCCACACCAUGAUCCCAGAUAAGGACAAGACAACAGGACUGUUUGAUAUUUCAGACUAUGGACAAGAUGCUGACAAAUUAAACAGCCAAUACAGACCAGCAGUGUACUUGGUGGUUUUCAACCCACUUUCAACCCAGGUCAAAUUGAGGCCCUUUGCAUCAUGCUGGGAUCUAGUUAUGAAAUGACCCCUUCUAAGCUCUCGAAUGUACUCUGAAAAGCAAAUCUCAUUGAUGAAUUUGGGGGAUUAACAAUUGUCUGUGUUGGGAUACUUGGUGAAUAAAACUACAGUGCUCAUUACAUGGGGCCUACAGUACCUUCCCAGGACUGGAUUAGAAAGUGACUGAAAGAGUCCGCUGUGGGAGUGUCUCUAAGCAUUCAUUAGCAGGUCAGUGUUUGGUGCAGUAUUAAUCAAGGAUUGUUCACUUAUCCUCCAUAUGUUUGUAUCACACACACUCUGCACUGCUCUGUCUCACAACUGUACCGCUCUCCCUGUACCAGCAAUGUUGUAUAGCUAUGUGCGUAUGCACCUAUUUACAUUAGCUGUGCGAUAGAUGACAUGUCAAUGCAUUCUUUAUGAGGGUGUCCAAUAAACUGUAACAGUAAAAACCUGUUCCAUAUCUCACCUAUCAUAUCAAACCAUCAUAUCUUGAUGGCUGCAUUAAUGUGAUGAAUGGGGGUUUAUAGAGGAUGUCCAUGUAAGACAAGGCCAUGUGUGUUAAGCUAUCAAUUACCUGUCAUCUUAACGUCAAGUUUCAGCCAUUUUGGUUUUUCUUUGAGUGAAAUAUUACAAGACCUCCAUUGCAGCUCAACAAAGUUAAUGUGGCAAUCACAAUAAUUUUACUGCUGCAUUAAACUCUUGGGAAGAUCAUAAAUGUACAGUCAGCUCUUAUUAUGUCUCGAGUGCAACUGUGACGUGUUGUGCCUCUGAAUCGUUUCCGGGAAGAGUUUUGCCUGUUUUGACUGCUAACAUUGGUUGUCAACAGAAAUAAUUGAGAUACUACCAGAGGGUGAAAUAUGUAUACAGUAUGAGGAAGAGGCCAUGGACUAAACUGUUCCUGAGUAUGUUUGUGUUGACUAUGGAACUUUACCAAACCAGUUAUGGAAUGUCCGGGGGAAACAAAGAGGACAAAAAUGUGUUUUGAUGGCCAUAGACUGCUGAAUGUGCCAGCCGGUGAGAUGGAUUCGUGAGUUAAUACUUUGUUGUUUCCUGGUUAAACCAGGCCAAAAAAAUACAACAGAAGUAUAAAUGGUACAUUUAUCUCAUGUGUAUAAUGAUAGAAUACCACCCACAUAUCAAUUUAAACACUGCAACCUUGAACUCAGUUUGGUUUUAUUUAGCACAAUUGUCUGACAUGCCUUACCAUAACUGAUGAAUGAGUCAAUUAUGGUAAAACAAUUCUGUCUAAGCAUUCUUUGAACAAGGACUGCCCAGAACAUUAAAAACAUUAAAUUAUACACAAAGUGA